UUGGCCAGGCACCAAUCAUCUGCCUCCUUCUGUGCCUGCCUGGCUGCCCCUACCCUGGGGCUCCCUCCUAGCCCCCACCUCACCUACUGGCUCACUGAGACAGAGCCAAACAUGAAAGGGAAGGUGACGGCCUGGCCAUAGGGCCCAGGAAAAUGCAGGUAUCAUUAACAGCCUGGAGCACUGUGGCCUGUCCACUCUCAACCCUCUGCUGCCCACCCCUUCCUGGAAUAGACCCCAGGCCACAUACAGAGGGGGCAAGCCCAAGCCAGGAUUGAAGGAGAUCCCAUCUUGGGUCUAAAGGAAUGGGGGUGAAGACUGCAUCUUGUCGUUCCAGUUCCACCCCAUUCUGGCAUGGGAAGCAUGUGUGGGCUUCUACUCUAUGGGAGAUUCAUAGGAUGCUGACGAUACGACAGUGAAUACAACAUGAAAAAACAAGCACACUUCUCACCCCUAUGGAGCUUUAUUCUGGUCAGGCAGAAGGAGAAGGAAAUGUAAACAUGCAAGGAGCAACUUUUUGGCACUCCCAUUUUGCAGAAGA
rnacentral:lncRNA from 1 species